rnacentral:lncRNA from 1 species
UUGGUUCCUAGGGGGAUGGGGGAAAGCUACAGGUGGUGUGGUCAAGCCAAACUCGGGAUAAGCUGUGAUUGGGGUUGAUGGUUCCGGAGUCCUAGGGUGUUGUACUAGAGCACGGAUCUCACGUUUGAAUUCGUCUUGAUCAGCUCGUAUUGCAGCUAAUUGUUCCAAAAUAUCUUGUAUAACUCUGGGGUCCAUGGUGGAUAAAGGGGUUUGAGAGUCAGUGAGGAGGUACUCUCUACCACUACGGAUGGGCAUACAGGAACUACUCUAGUUGGUGAUAUGAUAUGCAAUACUACUAAUGAACCCUAACUGACCAAAUGUGAUGCAAGACAACCUACUAAUGCAACCUACUAUGAAUUCGGAAAUCAGCAAAUUUUCACUAAAGUAACUUAAAAUUAAAUGUUACUAAUUUGUACUUUGGUUAUUUCAGAAUUAAAGUA